rnacentral:rRNA from 1 species
UACGGAGGGUGCAAGCGUUGUUCGGAUUUACUGGGCGUAAAGCGCGCGCAGGUGGGUGUGCAAGUCGGAAGUGAAAUCUUGAGGCUCAACCUCGAGGCUGCUCCCGAAACUGCACGCCUAGGGACUGGUAGAGGCUGGUAGAAUUCCCGGUGUAGCGGUGGAAUGCGUAGAGAUCGGGAACGAAUGACCCGUGGCGAAGGCGGCCCAGCUGGGCCAGGUCCGACAACUGGAGGCGACGAAAGCGUGGGGAGCAAACAGG